UGUGAUUCUGUCUCUGGUCGCCAAGAUCAUCUUAUUAUCAACACCUUUGGUGGUUUUCUGCUGGAAGAAGAGACUCACUAAGAGCAAAGGUCCUGCUGUGGAAACAGAGUACGCUGUCGUCUCUCAGACCAACCCAGAGACCGAGAUAACCAGAAGAGGACUGAUCAAAUCCUCUGCUG